AAAAGUCAAUAAGGCUUCUACAUAGAACAUACGCCACUGCCCGGAAAUGUCGAGAGACACCAAUGGGAUAACAGGUUUUGUCGGAUUAAGGCUUUACCUAGUGUGGCUGGGGUAAUUUACCCCUAGCUGUGUAUGUGCCAAAACUCAAACGACGGGGA
rfam:Desulfotomaculum sp. 46_80 MPI_scaffold_1226, whole genome shotgun sequence.